UGGCGAGGUGAGUAACGCGUAAGAAUCUACCUUUAGGAGGGGGAAAACAACUGGAAACGGUUGCUAACACCCCAUAUGCUGAGGAGUAAAAUACAUUGUGCCUAGAGAUGAGCUUGCGUCUGAUUAGUUAGUUGGUAAGGUAAUUGCUUCCCAAGACUAUGAUCAGUAGCUGGUCUGAGAGGAUGAUCAGCCACACUGGGACUGAGACACGGCCCAG
rnacentral:rRNA from 1 species